AUUGAACGCUGGCGGCAUGCUUUACACAUGCAAGUCGAACGGCAGCACAGGGAGCUUGCUCCUGGGUGGCGAGUGGCGAACGGGUGAGUAAUGUAUCGGAACGUGCCUGGUAGUGGGGGAUAACUACUCGAAAGAGUGGCUAAUACCGCAUGAGAUCUUUGGAUGAAAGCGGGGGACCUUCGGGCCUCGUGCUACUGGAGCGGCCGAUAUCAGAUUAGGUUGUUGGUGGGGUAAAGGCUUACCAAGCCUGCGAUCUGUAGCUGGUCUGAGAGGACGACCAGCCACACUGGGACUGAGACACGGCCCAGACUCCUACGGGAGGCAGCAGUGGGGAAUUUUGGACAAUGGGCGCAAGCCUGAUCCAGCAAUGCCGCGUGCAGGACGAAGGCCUUCGGGUUGUAAACUGCUUUUGUACAGAACGAAAAGUCUCUGGCUAAUAUCUAGAGAUCAUGACGGUACUGUAAGAAUAAGCACCGGCUAACUACGUG
rnacentral:rRNA from 1 species